UACGUAGGGGGCAAGCGUUGUCCGGAAUCAUUGGGCGUAAAGAGCGUGUAGGCGGUCCGGUAAGUCGGCUGUGAAAGUCCAGGGCUCAACCCUGGGAUGCCGGUCGAUACUGCCGGACUAGAGUUCGGAAGAGACGAGUGGAAUUCCCGGUGUAGCGGUGAAAUGCGCAGAUAUCGGGAGGAACACCUAUGGCGAAGGCAGCUCGCUGGGACGUUACUGACGCUGAGACGCGAAAGCGUGGGGAGCAAACAGG
rnacentral:rRNA from 1 species